rnacentral:rRNA from 1 species
GUGCCGCAGCUAACGCACUAAGCAUUCCGCCUGGGGAGUACGACCGCAAGGUUGAAACUCAAAGGAAUUGACGGGGGCCCGCACAAGCGGUGGAGCAUGUGGUUUAAUUCGAAGCUACGCGAAGAACCUUACCAGGUCUUGACAUCUUUUGACCACCUAAGAGAUUAGGUUUUCCCUUCGGGGACAAAAUGACAGGUGGUGCAUGGUUGUCGUCAGCUCGUGUCGUGAGAUGUUGGGUUAAGUCCCGCAACGAGCGCAACCCUUGUUGUCAGUUGCCAGCAUUUAGUUGGGCACUCUGGCGAGACUGCCGGUGACAAACCGGAGGAAGGUGGGGAUGACGUCAAAUCAUCAUGCCCCUUAUGACCUGGGCUACACACGUGCUACAAUGGGCAGUACAACGAGUCGCGAAACCGCGAGGUUUAGCAAAUCUCUUAAAACCGUUCUCAGUUCGGACUGCAGGCUGCAACUCGCCUGCACGAAGUCGGAAUCGCUAGUAAUCGCGGAUCAGCAUGCCGCGGUGAAUACGUUCCCGGGCCUUGUACACACCGCCCGUCACACCAUGAGAGU